rnacentral:rRNA from 1 species
UACGGAGGGUGCGAGCGUUGUUCGGAAUUACUGGGCGUAAAGCGCGCGUAGGCGGGUUUUCAAGUCAAUUGUGAAAUCCCGGAGCUCAACUCCGGACGUGCAGUUGAAACUGUUAAUCUUGAAUACCUAAGAGGAUGGCGGAAUUCCCGGUGUAGGAGUGAAAUCCGUAGAUAUCGGGAGGAACACCCGAGGCGAAGGCG